GUGCUCACUUCAGCAGCACAUAUACCAAAAAAUUGGAAAAAUACAGAGAAGAUUAGCAUGGCCUCUGCAAAUUCAUGAAGCAUUCCAUAAAAAACAGUAUUUUUUU
rnacentral:snRNA from 1 species